rnacentral:rRNA from 1 species
CCACAUGCAAGUCGAACGGUAACAGGGAAGAAAGCUUGCUUUCUUUGCUGACGAGUGCCGUGACGGGUGAGUAAUGCUUGGGAAUCUGGCUUAUGGAGGGGGAUAACUACUGGAAACGGUAGCUAAUACCGCGUAAUGUCUACGGACUAAAAGGGGCGAAAGCUCUUGCCAUAAGAUGAGCCCAAGUGGGAUUAGGUAGUUGGUGAGGUAACGGCUCACCAAGCC